rnacentral:rRNA from 1 species
AUUGAACGCUGGCGGCAUGCCUUACACAUGCAAGUCGAACGGCAGCGGGGGAGAAGCUUGCUUUUCCUGCCGGCGAGUGGCGAACGGGUGAGUAAUACAUCGGAACGUGCCCUGUAGGGGGGGAUAACUAGUCGAAAGAUUAGCUAAUACCGCAUACGACCUGAGGGUGAAAGUGGGGGACCGCAAGGCCUCAUGCUAUAGGAGCGGCCGAUGUCUGAUUAGCUAGUUGGUGGGGUAAAGGCCUACCAAGGAGACGAUCAGUAGCUGGUCUGAGAGGACGAUCAGCCACACUGGGACUGAGACACGGCCCAGACUCCUACGGGAGGCAGCAGUGGGGAAUUUUGGACAAUGGGCGAAAGCCUGAUCCAGCAAUGCCGCGUGUGUGAAGAAGGCCUUCGGGUUGUAAAGCACUUUUGUCCGGAAAGAAAUGGCUCUGGUUAAUACCUGGGGUCGAUGACGGUACCGGAAGAAUAAGGACCGGCUAACUACGUGCCAGCAGCCGCCGUAA